rnacentral:rRNA from 1 species
GAUGAACGCUGGCGGCGUGCUUAACACAUGCAAGUCGAACGGAAAGGCCCAAGCUUGCUUGGGUACUCGAGUGGCGAACGGGUGAGUAACACGUGGGUGAUCUGCCCUGCACUUCGGGAUAAGCCUGGGAAACUGGGUCUAAUACCGGAUAGGACCACUUCUUGGAUGUUGUGGUGGAAAGUUUUUUCGGUGUGGGAUGAGCUCGCGGCCUAUCAGCUUGUUGGUGGGGUAAUGGCCUACCAAGGCGUCGACGGGUAGGCGGGCUGGGAGGGUGUACGGCCACAUUGGGACUGGGAUACGGCCCAGACUCCUACGGGGGGCAGCAGUGGGGAAUAUUGCACAAUGGGCGCAAGCCUGAUGCAGCGACGCCGCGUGGGGGAUGACGGCCUUCGGGUUGUAAACUCCUUUCGCUAGGGACGAAGCGUUUUGUGACGGUACCUGGAGAAGAAGCACCGGCUAACUACGUG